AUUGAACGCUGGCGGCAGGCCUAACACAUGCAAGUCGAGUGGAGCGGCGGACGGGUGAGUAAUGCCUAGGAAUCUGCCUGGUAGUGGGGGAUAACGUCCGGAAAAGGGCGCUAAUACCGCAUACUAUCAGAUGAGCCUAUGUCGGAUUAGCUAGUUGGUGGGGUAAAUGCCUACCAAGGCGACGAUCCGUAACUGGUCUGCGAGGAGGUGCAGUCAAACUGGAACUGCGACACGGUCCAGACUCGUACGGGAGGCAGCAGUGGGGAAUAUUUGACAAGGGGCGAAAGCCUUAUCCAGCCAUGCCGCGUGUGUGAAGAAGGUCUGCGGAUUGUAAAGCACUUUAAGUUGGGAGGCGUUACCAACAGAAUAAGCACCGGCUAACUUCGUGCCAGCAGCCGCGGUAAUUC
rnacentral:rRNA from 1 species